AUCAACUGGAAAUGUUAAUGAUUACUAUCCAGUUGAAGCUUUACAUGAAAAUAUAGCUGGAACUAUUGAGAAACAAAACUAUGUUGGGCACAAUGUAACUGAUUUUGAUGAAUUAACUGCUAUUUUAGACCAACAAUCUGCUACUACAGGCGCAUUUAAUCAAAACUUUAAUAAGUCUUAUUCUAUUGAAACUUUGUAUAAAGAUUUAUCUGAGGUUAUCGAGCUACAAAAUGUUGUAGCACAAGAUUGUGAUGAUGCUAAUGUUGAUAUAUUGACAACUGAUUUGGAUCAACAAUCUUCUAGAACAGGCAGUUUAUUUGAAUCUGAUACAGAAACACAAGACAGGUAUCCAGGUUUACGGCCUAAAACUAAAAAUGUUAAACCUGUAUCUAAUGACAGUUCAGUAAGUUCAGAUUAUUCUGAGUAUGAUUCUGACUAUGUGCCUCAAUCUAAUAAAGCUGUCAGUAGCAAAUUGUAUGAUUCUGAUAAAGAAGAAGAUAAAGACUUUGCUAAUUCAUCAGACAUCAAUAUUGAUGAGUAUGAGGAUUAAACAAAUAUGGUGCAAAAGUUUACUCCAAGUGCAUCUAAAAUAAGUUCAGAAAAAAUAUCAGUGCCAUUUAUAACAAAUAAGUUUAAUUUUGACGGUGAAGUUGAAAAAAGUAAAAAAACUACUUCUUACAAAAGAGUUUGGGACA